AGAGAGAGAGAGAGAGAGAGAGAGAGAGAGAGAGAGAGAGAGAGAGAGAGAGAGUAGCCCGCCGGCCCAUUGAGGAAAGAUGGCUACAGUCGCUGCAAACGGAGUGCAGCAGGAGAAUGGAUUCAGCACCACGAACAGCGCCGGCAGGAUGAACGGGCUUACCAUCGGCCAGAACACCAUUCCAAUGAAGGACCACGACGCCAUCAAGCUUUUCAUCGGCCAGAUUCCCAGAAACCUGGAGGAAAAAGACCUGAAACCGCUGUUUGAGGAAUUCGGAAAGAUAUACGAACUCACUGUACUGAAAGACAGGUUUACCGGAAUGCAUAAAGGAUGUGCCUUUCUAACAUACUGUGCGAGAGAGUCAGCACUGAAGGCCCAGAGCGCCCUCCAUGAACAGAAGACCCUGCCAGGGAUGAACCGGCCCAUCCAGGUGAAGCCAGCCGACAGCGAAGGACGGGGAGAAGAUAGGAAGCUGUUUGUGGGGAUGCUCGGCAAGCAGCAGAGCGAGGACGAUGUCCGGCGGCUGUUCGAGACCUUCGGCCAGAUUGAGGAGUGCACCGUCCUUCGAGGGCCUGAUGGGGCCAGUAAGGGCUGUGCUUUUGUGAAGUUCUCCAGCCACGCAGAAGCUCAAGCCGCCAUCAACAGCUUGCACGGUGGACAAACUAUGCCUGGUGCCUCGUCCAGCCUGGUGGUCAAAUUUGCAGACACUGAUAAGGAACGCACCCUGCGCAGGAUGCACCAGAUGGCGGGCCAGCUCGGCAUCUUCAGUCCAAUGACCAUCCAGUUUGGGGCCUAUGGCGCCUACUCUCAUGCUGUAAGUCUCAGCCCGGCAGGAGAGGAGACGCAGAUGAUGCAACAGCAAGCGGCCCUGAUGGCAGCGACACAAGGGUCUUACCUGAACCCUAUGGCAGCCAUCGCUGCCGCGCAAAUGCAGCAAAUGGCAGCUUUCAAUGUCAACGGACUGGUGGCUACUCCCAUGACACCGUCCUCAGGCACCAGCACACCCCCAGGCAUUUCUGCCACAGCCGUGCCCAGCAUAGCCACCCCCAUUGGGGUCAAUGGAUUCAGCGCCCUCCCACCUCAAAGCAACGGCCAGCCCACAUCUGAGCCCAUCUACACCAACGGGAUUCAUCCUUACCCAGCACAGAGUCCAACGGUGACUGACCCUCUCCAGCAGGCUUAUGCUGGCGUCCAGCACUACGCAGCAGCCUACCCUGCCGCCUAUGCGCCAAUCAGCCAAGCGUUCCCCCAGCAACCAACCAUCAUGCCCCAGCAACAGAGGGAAGGGCCAGAAGGUUGCAACCUGUUUAUUUAUCACCUGCCCCAGGAGUUUGGAGAUGCUGAGCUCAUGCAAAUGUUCCUACCUUUUGGCAACGUCAUUUCUGCCAAAGUCUUUGUGGACCGAGCGACCAAUCAGAGCAAAUGUUUUGGCUUCGUGAGUUUUGAUAACCCUUCCAGUGCUCAAGCCGCCAUCCAGGCCAUGAACGGCUUCCAGAUAGGCAUGAAGAGGCUGAAGGUGCAGCUAAAGCGGCCAAAGGAUGCCAACCGACCUUACUAACCUGUCUGCUGUUCAUAACCAGUGUGAGGUGGCCUUUCCCCCCGCUAUAGCCACACACACCCCGACCUGUCGUGGGGCCAAGUUCCCUCACCUGAUGAAGGGCCACAACACCUUAUUUCCACAAGUGCAGUAAAAGUACAAAGACUCCUUGCUCUGCUACAUAUCAUGAAGGAAGGGUGGUCCCUUGAUCCUCCUGGAAAGCCGCUGGAAGAUUGGGUGGCUGAAAGAAGGAUCCCAGAGUCGUUGUUUUUUAUUGGUAUCAUUUGCCUUUUUUCCCUGUUUUGCUUUGGCGUCUGUGGAAGAAGAUUUUUUGCAGAGACCGACUUUUUGCUGCUGUUUUUUAGACACGAUGAAAAAAGAAAACUUUAUAGACUCAUUUUGCUCAAAGCAUGCAUACAGACACAGGACACAGAUGAAGUCACAGAAACAGAAACAAACCAAACGUACAACUAUCAUGAAGCUACACUUAAUGGAAAACCGGAAAACAAAAAGACUUUGUACAUGUAUAAAUAAGUGCAAAUGCCAACACAAGUACUGAAGCAAACUCCUGUGUGUGUGCGCGCACACACACACACACACACACACACACAAGUACACAAACACACACACACACACCAGCCUGCUGCAAUUUUGGUUUUUGUGCCUACACAGGUGUUGUGCUCUGUGACAGGGCAAGCUCUGGAUCGAAGAAGAAAACAAGAAGAAGAGGAGAGAAGUGGGGAAUCCAGGAUAAUUUACAUGCAUCAUUCCUUAGGAAAUAGGGACCAAAGGACUAAACGCUUUUUAAAAAAAUUAUAAAUAUAUAAAUAUAUAAAUAUAUAUAUAUUUAAAAACUCGUACCUUGUAGCUGCAAGUAUAACAAUUAACUCAUCGUAAAAAAAAGAGCAUUAAAUCAAUAUCCAGUGGCCUCCUGUAAGUACAAAUAAAAGAAAAUGGAAAUAAUGUACAAAAAAUAAAUAAAAAGACAUGGAACCGUAGCGUAGGGGCUGAUGUUUGGCUCUGGAUGCUGACUUGGCAACCGGCUGUAGAAUAGUGUCGUAGACUAGGAAAAACAAAUGUACAUUUCCUAACAUUUGCUGUUGUUUAAAAACAUAUUUAAGUUGUCUCAAAAGGAGGGGAAAAGAAACGGUAAGGGGAUAAAAUAAAACACUCGUCCACGCCUAUGAGCAGCAAGACAAUUCUCUGAUGGAUGUUAAGGGGUCAGCCACUGGAUAUCUCACUCAUCAUGAUGUAAAAGUCACUGCACUCUCCGGAAGGCAGACUGUUCUGGCGGACGAUGAACGGAAAACAGAAGAAAAGACUGAACUUUCUCACGUCUGUGCUGGACAGGGUGCAGAUGUUUAAGGCUUCUCACUAGCCUUCGUGUACAAGCGACAAUCCACUGCAAAGACCAAGUAAAAACAGGAAAGGGAUGUUCUUUUCUUUGUUUUUUUAUCUUUUGUAUUGCAUCAAGUGUGAAAUGCGACGCCACAAGUUCUUAAAGAGGACGGUCGAGAGAGAGACAAGAGGAGGGCGAUAGCUACUGAAACUGCCAGAACGAACUAAGACUAGUAAUGAAUCGGUUGAGCCCGAUCAGCGGGAGACAGGAUGUCUGUGAAAAACGGUUAAUGUUGUAUACGUCCACAUGGAGGUGUUUCAAAGCUCUAGGCUGAGGAAAUGUUCAUCUCGCCUCCCGGCUGAUAAACGUACCUUUUUCUAAAGACAAAUGGCAUCAAAGGGAUUUAGGCUUUUAGAGGUCACUAAUUCCAACGUUACCAUGUUCGUGCUGUUUUAUAUACACUUCAUUGGACCUCACGGAGAAAAGCUACCGCCUAAACAGGCAUUCUAACAAGCUCUCUGCCAUCAUUCAGCUCGCCUGAAGCUUUUCUGACACUGACAGAGCAAAACACUCCGCCGCUGUCAUGUCUGGAUUUAGAGUCCCGUAUCCUUUAUUUUGACUGUUUUAGAGCUGUGCAUGUAGACUCCUCCCUAAAACGGGAUCAAUAUGUUUGGAGUCGGUCUUCAGGGAGGAACCAUGGUGUUUUCAGUCACUGUGAGCACUUCCCAAUUUUCUCUGCAAGAGCGCAAGCUCGCCUCCGUACACCAACCCCUCUGAGCACUGACAGCUGGCAUUUAGAGGCAAGGCAUGGCACAAAGGAGCGAGAGGAAAAGAGAGGAAGUCAACAGCUCUUCUCGUUGAGAUCAUCUCAAAUGACGCUUCUAGGUUGCUGCUAAAUAAUUUCACAGAUAUAUUUAGAAGCUAUAGUCAAGCCCCUGGUGACAACGUUAUGGAUUUGUGUCAUAGCCCAUCAUAGAACCAGACUUAAGGGUUAAUAGGGACCAAACAUGAGCGUUUGGGACCAGCCAGAUGAUACAGUCUCCUUUUUGCCAGACCUUUCCUCUUUUUUAUUGAAAUUCAGAUCAGUUUGAAAUCCCACAGAAUCAAAACCCAAUCAAAUGUUCCACGUUUUCGUUCUGCACUGCCUCUGUCGCUUAAAUGAGUGGAAGGCCCUUAUUUUAGACAACAGCAUGCUGUCCUAAUGGCAGCCAUGACUUUCCAAACCACAGCCCCCCACUCCACCCCCACCACAUUUUUGAACCUGGCUAAUGCUUGAGCUUACUACCCUUCAAUUAUCUCCAGCGCCAUAUCAGACAUGCUAUUUCACCUUUCCCUAAUCACACUGUAAUCAUCGACCUCUAUACAUUAGCAGCAACCAAGUGAAAAAUCACCGGGAUAAUCACUUGGACCGAAUGACGGGAGAAAUUGUCCCCGGCUUGCACAUGGAUGACAGAAGGAAGAUUAGGGAGAAUUAUGUUUGUGCCUACUCCCUGGCAAGGCUGCUGACAGCUGACCUGGCGCCAAUAAUACAACCAAAUUUACCCGAAGAGUUGACGGGGGACGUGGAAAAGGACCUUCCCUUCUCUAACAGGGAGUUAAAACUGCAGAACAGGCGGAUUAUACCGGAAACUAAAAAAGAAAGGACCACAAAUAGUCCUUUGCCUUUUCUUUACCACAACUUUAGCUUAAAACUGGGUCAAAACCAACACUUUUGCACGGGAAACACUCGAUCCUGCAGCAGCAGCAGCUGUUAUUGUAAUUCUUUUGAUCUGAAACAUGAAAAUUGCAUCUCAGCAGUCGACCACAGAAGUCAGCCUGUUUUACAAAACGACUUGCUAAAACUUCUUUCUUUUGCUCCAGCGUUCCCCUGCUAGGAUAGAUCCAAAGCACAGUUAUGUUCAGCUUUAGAAAGAUAUUCAGCAGCACAGCUCUUCAGGUUAAACGUGACGUUGGCAGCACCAUGCCAUUUCGUUCUUCUGCAUUUGAUUAAACAUGUUGGAAAACCCAUGAAGGGGCUCAUAAAAAUGUCAUGUUCCCUAAACAAGAAGUGUUUAUUGAUUUGAAGCAGAACUCUCAAAAGGUGUUCAAAUGUUCCACAAGCAAUUAGAUGUUCCAUGUUUGUCUUGGCAACCUCUUAAUCUCAUACAGCAACACGGAUCUUGGAUGCAUGCUCCACUGAACUUCCCAGUCUCUUAUCAGAUGUUGUACUGUUCCCUCUAAUAGCAGGUUGAGUCCCUAGUGAGCCAAAACCCAGCCUAGCCCAGUCUCCUGCUGUCUAACUUGGCUAAUGGUGCAGCGUUCAUGUAGCAUACCUGCUAUGCCAGGGCUAAAUUAGACAAUGAGAAACCAGCACUUGAACACUUUUAUCAAGGGCCCUGAAACGAGCUUUUCACCCUUGGAAGAGUGACACUGAGAUGUGGAGCACCAAAAGUGUGUAUCUUUGUAACUGGAAAUGGAACUGGGAGGAAAAAAAGGAUAAAUUAUGUUUAGAAGCCAACUUUCUUCUUACAUUUAUGUAGCGAUGGGUACCAAAUUCAGUACUUUUUAAGGUACCGGCCGAAUUCCACAGUACCGACUGAGCACCGAUUCACGUCAUUUGUAACGGUGCCUCGUUUCGGUACCCGUCCUUCAUAACGAGAACUUGCCUAGACAGCUGCACAUUCACAAGAGUGUUAUGUCAUCGGUCGCUGCGAGCCAGUUGUAAACAGAGCAGCAUGGUAGAAAGAACGCACGCUAAAGCUUGGGUCCACUUCACUAAAUGUGAUGGGUAACUGGGUGAUGAUGAAACCAGCGACAACGAUCUAAGUGAGACAUCCUCAUCUUAAUCUGCUCUGGUAGGUAAAUAAAAUGUUUAAGAUAACGUUAGCUUGAUAUGUUAGCUUCCGUUCCGCUAAUGGUGCGUUCGCUUUCUCCUCGCAACUCCGAAUUUCCGACUAGAACAUGAACGCGCUCUAAAGUUUGGCUUCACUUUACUAAAUGCGACGGGUGAUUGGGUGAAGAUGAAACCAGCGACAACGAUCUAAGUGUGAGGCAUCAUCGUUUUAAUCUGCUCCAGCAGCUAAAUAAACUGUUUAAGAUAACGUUAGCUUGAUAUGUUAGCUUCCAUUGCCACCAUUGUUAUCAGCUAAUGGUGCAUUCACUUUCUCCUCGGAAAUUCUAACUUCCCAGUAGAACAAAUCAAAUGAAAAAAGACGGCAAAAGGAAUGAAGAUACACAGUAAAUUUAGUUCACAGUAAAGAUGUUUGCUUCAGUUUAAUUAUCAGCUUAUAAAACUACAAGGACCAUGUUAAAAUACAAACAGUUGUAUGUUAUUUAUCGUGAUAUUUAUCAAAUAUGGUUAUAUAUUGAGAAAAAUGCUUAUUUAAUUAUAAAAGGGAAUUAAAAUAUUAAACACUCAAAAGUAUCAAAAAUUGGUACCGUUAAGUACCGGUAUCGAUUCCUAGGUACCGGAAAUUAGUAUCGGAUCGAUUCAAAUGUCAAAGGUACCAUCCCUACAUUUAUGUUUAAUGUUUGUUGGCCUGCUUAGCUUUUAGCCUGAAUCCAGUCUGGUUGUUAGCCCAUGCUAUGUUCAAACAUUGUGACCACUAAGAAAAGUCAACGCGGAGGGACUCGCCAAAAAGAUACCAAACUAGGAAAUGUUAUGAACCCUAAAGUUUAAGGUGAUGAACUUAGAUGAUCUUCACCAGUGUGUGAUGAUGACUAAUGAGGCUGUAAUUUGACGCUCUUAGCCUGAAGGAAUAAAUGUGCACGGUACUGUAUAGUUUGCCAUCUCUGUCUGUGGUAAAACGAGCGGUGCAUCUAGGCACCCAAAAUGAAUUGUUUUUAAUGAUAAUUUCUAAGACUAGCUCCUAAGCUAUGGCAUGCCCCGACUUCAAAAAUAGAAGGGUUGUAUACGAAUUGCAUCUAUUUCAGCUGCCACUGUGCUCACUCAGCUUGUCAUGAAGAGUUGCACAAAUCCUUGGAGGGUUCUAGCCAAUGGCAGGACGGAGCAAAAGCCUGCUGGAGCAUGCAUAUCCAAUCCACUGGGUGCAUAACACUCACCCUGAAAUAGCAGUGAUUGUCAAGGAAAGGAAGUGAAAUGUAAUUGACUGAAAGUGGAGAGAUAAUUAAAGGAACCUGUUGGACAGGAGGGAAGAAAUUAAUUCCCCUCAUUUAAUAGCUGCUUUGGGAGAGAGCUGUUCCGUCAUCUCUUUUUGACGCAGAAAAGGGUUUUGCUCUGGAAAUGGAAUUUUUAACUGAAAAAAAAAAUAAAGGUGGUGAUUGGGAACGGUAGAAACGGGCGCUGGGUGGUGGCGGUGCUGUGUGCUCAACUGACACUCCACAAAAUCACUCCCAAGACUCAGGGCAUCAGGCACGAUGAUGUCACGAUUAGUGAAGAGGUUCAGAGCCUCGCCUCAGCCCUGAUCCUGAGCAGGUUUAGACUGCAGCAGCAGGAAGAGCGGUUGCAUGCUCACCAGAGAGUUGCUGCUUAAGUAGAGAGGCUGCUAAACUAUCUAAAUCGGAGUUAUGACUCAAACUGUCGUCAUCCAAUUCAAGAGUACCAACAACUACAGAUGCCAACAGUCAGCUGACAACUGAAGGUGUGCAAACAACCUUGCUGAUACGAAAGUGAUUUUAUAAGACUUCUUAAUGUAAAUAGCCUUUAAAAUACAAAAAUAAAAAGAGGUAAGGUUCUAAAGCAACGUGUGCCGAGAAACUCGACUCUGUGGGACAAUGAUGUCACUAUAAAAUGUUUCCACAGCAGUGCAGGGAUUCAGGAGGGUUGAAGUCCUCUUAAGCCCAUUAGGUUUGGACUGUGCGCAUGCACCCUACAGCCCUAAGCAUCGGACCAAGGCUCGGAAAGUAUCUGACUCAGUGUCAGACCUAAGCCACGGCGUCCAAGCAAGCGAUCCGUUUAUUACGGUUCUGUGUACACCGACAUGUCAUGUUUUCUAAGACAGGAGUGCAGUAACUGGAUUAGUCCGGUUGGAGCUGAUGAACAGAUAUGACGGUGACGGUUGGGCUCAUAAGAGCAUCAGCACUUUCUUCGUUCUCAAACUUCCUCUGAAGUAACAGUUCAGGCUUUCGGUGCUCACUGAAGGACAUUUUACACGACGAAACUCAAGGUGACCACGUGUUAGCGUGUACACAAACCGGGCUGGAACCAAGCAUUUGAUGGAUAAGUUGAAAUGCUACAAACAUGGUUAGGCUGGGGACAGAACACGGGGGAGUCCAACAGAACCCUCUAAGUGCUUGACCCAGCCCGCCGCCACAGCUCUCCUAACAGCUGCAUUGUACCUGUACAUAUAAAAUAGCCUAUUUUUCAAUUAUGUUUAACAUUCUUUAAAAGUCAAACAUUAGAUCAUGUUCAAACGUAACAAAGAAAAAUAAAAUAGGUCAUUUAUUUCAGUACAACUAAGAGAAAGAACCUUUGAAAUAAUUUAUCAAGAACUGAAGAUAAAAUGGUUUUAUUUCUUGUGUAGUGAUGCACUCGUGUUCAGACGUGGAUAAUUAAACUCGUGCUGGGAACUGGUUCUUUAUUUUUCUCUCUGUUGUAUUUUCAUUGGCUGAAGCUGGGUAAACCCGUUGUCACAAGGUUUAGUCGGAUAUCCUUUGACAACCUUUUUCCAUUCUUAUUUAUUUAUUUCGUUAUUUUGGCUGCACAAUCCCGCUGUAACAGUCCCUGUGGAUGUUCAAAGAGAUUUUUCUCAGUGAAAGCUGUGAAAUCGAUAGGAGAAUUAGCAAACUGCACUGUAAAAGGUUGAUUGAUGGACCUGGUCUGUGGAUAAAAAUAAAUAAAAAAAGUUCAGUGCACAACUGAGUUCAAAUGGAUCAGCACUGUUCAAAAGAAAAAAAUAUCAUAAAUGAGGCCUUCUGUUGUUUUGAGGGCAAAAUUGUGUCUGAAACUACAACAAAAAGGGAACAGAGACAAAAAUACCAAACUUUACCGUUGUGUUGUUUUGGGGGCCGAUGCCAUCACAUCUUAUUGAGUAUUGUUGUAUUUUCAUGGUUGGUGCCCCUGUAACAUUCUCCUCUUUAUGUUUGCUUUGUGAUAUAUUAUUUUUCAGGGUUAUUUUCCAUCACCAUAGACACAUGUGAGGUUCACACGCUCUGCUCCUGCCUAGGGAAUGUUUGAUCCACUGAAGACACUGUGCCACCAGUAGAUCACGGGACAUUUGCUUUGCUCCAGUCAGGUCGGUUUGUAAAAGGAGUGGAGAUCUCUGCCUUAAGCCCAGUCUGUUCUCUUUGACAGCACUACCUGAACAGUGCUCAGACAAUGUAUUCUGGGGAUGCCAAAUCUUCUUUAACACCAAGCCGGAUCAGUUUUUAGCCCAUUUCGAGCCCGUUCAGACACAAACAUGGAUGUGGUCGCUGACCUUCGUUUUCACUGGUUACAAGGACCAAAAUGUAAACAAACUCAGCAAGCUGAGCAGUUUGCUUCAAUCAAGCAUCCAUUGAGAACCUUUAAAGUGUAAUCUUUGUAUCGCCAGUCUUUCCAUUCCCAGCUUCACUAAAGUCAGUUUAUUUGAUGUCAUUCAGAUGUUGUUUAUCAUGAUAUAUUUUGGUGAUUCAGUUCACAAUGAAAUAUUUUUGUCCUUUACGAUUUGACUUGGAUAAAAGAUGAUUUACUGUUUUAUGUCUUUUUGUUUGAAACAGAGAUGUAAUUUGAACUACCGUUGGCCGGGGCCGUUUCUCUGAUGCGGGAUGAUAUCUCCCAUAGUGAUCCUGAACUCUGUAGAUCUCUAGUUCAUUAUAUUCUGCUUAGACUAAAAUAAAGCACAGUCCUGUAGAAGAUUAAA